AUGUACAGUACCUUGGAAAUCGUACAGAAAGUGCUUCCCAUACUUAUGAACUCCUUGGACUGUUGGCCAGUUUACUUAUUGUGAGUUUUAUAAUGAAUCAUUAUAGUUACCUGUCGUGGCUGUUAUGCCUGGCCAGUGACCUGAGUGCCUACUAGAUUUGCUUAAUAACAAUCUUGAACCUUGGCUAAUGACUACAGCUCCCAUUUUAAUACUAGAACAGAUCAGUCACAAUUUAGAGCUGUAAAGAGGCUUGAAUCUGUGGUUUGCAAGAUAAUAUGCAGGCAGAAGCAUCUUGAAGGCAGCAGAGUGUAGUCUUUAAAAGUGAAUGCUUUGAAAGGUCAUGAAUCUGUAACCUUUCUCUGAAAUGGUUUGGGCGGUGGCAGUAAGAUAAUAUGUAUCACACACAGGUAUUUUUAAUAUGUAUCACGACAGGUACUUUUAAUAUGUAUCACACAGGUAUUUUAAUAUGUAUCACACACAGGUAUUUUUAAUAUGUAUCACACACAGGUAUUUUUAAUAUGUAUCACACAGGGACUUUUAAUAUGUAUCACACACAGGUGCUUUUAAUAUGUAUCACACAGGUAUUUUAAUAUGUAUCACACACAGGUAUUUUAAUAUGUAUCACACAGGUAUUUUAAUAUGUAUCACACAGGUAUUUUAAUAUGUAUCACACAGGGACUUUAAUAUGUAUCACACACAGGGACUUUUAAUAUGUAUCACACAGGUAUUUUAAUAUGUAUCACAGGUAUUUUAAUAUGUAUCACACAGGUAUUUUAAUAUGUAUCACAGGUAUUUUAAUAUGUAUCACACAGGUAUUUUAAUAUGUAUCACACACAGGUGCUUUUAAUAUGUAUCACACAGGUAUUUUAAUAUGUAUCACACAGGUAUUUUUAAUAUGUAUAACACAGGUAUUUUUAAUAUGUAUCACACAGGGACUUAAUAUGUAUCACACACAGGUAUUUUAAUAUGUAUCACACACAGGUAUUUUAAUAUGUAUCACACACAGGUAUUUUAAUAUAUAUCACACAGGGACUUUAAUAUGUAUCACACACAGGUGCUUUUAAUAUGUAUCACACACAGGUGCUUUUAAUAUGUAUCACACACAGGUAUUUUAAUAUGUAUCACACAGAGGUAUUUUAAUAUGUAUCACACACAGGUAUUUUUAAUAUGUAUCACACACAGGUAUUUUAAUAUGUAUCACACAGAGGUAUUUUAAUAUGUAUCUCACACAGGUAUUUUUAAUAUGUAUCACACAGAGGUAUUUUUAAUAUGUAUCACACAGAGGUAUUUUAAUAUGUAUCACACACAGGUAUUUUUAUAUGUAGCACACACAGGGACUUUUAAUAUGUAUCACACACAGGUAUUUUAAUAUGUAUUACACAGGGACUUUUAAUAUGUAUCACACACAGGUAUUUUAAUAUGUAUCACACACAGGUAUUUUUAAUAUGUAUCACACACAGGUAUUUUAAUAUGUAUCACACAGAGGUAUUUUAAUAUGUAUCUCACACAGGUAUUUUUAAUAUGUAUCACACAGAGGUAUUUUUAAUAUGUAUCACACAGAGGUAUUUUAAUAUGUAUCACACACAGGUAUUUUUAUAUGUAGCACACACAGGGACUUUUAAUAUGUAUCACACACAGGUAUUUUAAUAUGUAUUACACAGGGACUUUUAAUAUGUAUCACACAGGUAUUUUAAUAUAUAUCACACAGGGACUUUAAUAUGUAUCACACACAGGUGCUUUUAAUAUGUAUCACACACAGGUAUUUUUAAUAUGUAUCACACGGACUUUUAAUAUGUAUCACAUACAGGUGCUUUUAAUAUGUAUCACACACAGGUAUUUUUAAUAUGUAUCACACACAGGUAUUUUUAAUAUGUAUCACACAGGUAUUUUAAUAUGUAUCACACACAGGGACUUUUAAUAUGUAUCACACAGGUAUUUUAAUAUGUAUCACACACAGGGACUUUUAGUAUGUAUCACACACAGGUAUUUUAAUAUGUAUCACACACAGGGACUUUUAAUAUGUAUCACACACAGGUAUUUUAAUAUGCAUCACACAGGGACUUUUAAUAUGUAUCACACACAGGUAUUUUAAUAUGUAUCACACAGAGGUAUUUUAAUAUGUAUCACACAGAGGUAUUUUAAUAUGUAUCACACACAGGUAUUUUAAUAUGUAUCACACACAGGUAUUUUUAAUAUGUAUCACAGGUACUUUAAUAUGUAUCACAGAGGUAUUUUAAUAUGUAUCACACACAGGUAUUUUAAUAUGUAUCACAGGUAUUUUAAUAUGUAUCACACACAGGUAUUUUUAAUAUGUAUCACAGGUACUUUAAUAUGUAUCACAGAGGUAUUUUAAUAUGUAUCACACACAGGUAUUUUAAUAUGUAUCACACACAGGUGCUUUAAUAUGUAUCACACACAGGGACUUUUAUAUGUAUCACACACAGGUAUUUUAAUAUGUAUCACACACAGGGACUUUUAAUAUGUAUCACACACAGGUAUUUUAAUAUGUAUCACACACAGGGACUUUUAAUAUGUAUCACACACAGGUAUUUUUAUAUGUAUCACACACAGGUAUUUUAAUAUGUAUCACACACAGGUAUUUUAAUAUGUAUCACACACAGGGACUUUUAGAGAAAGAGAAGACUGUGGGGGCAAAAUGUUCACAAAGUUGACUCUAGGUGAAGGCUCUAUAGGAAUUGGCUGUAAUUUCCUUUAUCCUUGCAACUUCUUUGUAGGCUUUUAUUUAAAAAAAAAAAAAAGCUUGUUAAAAACGUGCAACUCUUCUGAGCCCGACUUCCUAAAUUCCAGUCUCACUCUGCCUUGUAUUACCUAGGUGGUCUUGGACAAGUUAGGAGAAUAUCUUUACACUUCAGUUUUCUCAUCUGAAAACUGAGCAUAACCUGCCUUAUGGAGCUGAUAUGAGGAUUAAAUGAACUCAUAUGUAUAUAAAGCCCUUAAGUAGUACCUCACGGAUACUAAGCCUGAAAUAUGUCAUUAUUAGGGUUAUUUAGUGUUAAGAGCUUUUCUUUAUAAACUGUACAGAACUAAAUAACCCCAGAACUGCAUUUAAAAGUUACCGCUGUUAUUCAUUGUUCUGGAAGAGUUUUCCAAUGUAGUUAAGAAUACAAAAUCAGGGCCAGGCACAGUGGCUCACACCUGUAAUCUCAGCACUUUGGGAGGCUGAGGCGGGCAGAUCAUUUGAGAUCAGGAGUUUGAGACCAGCGUGGCGAACAUGGUGAAACCCUGUCUCUACUAAAAA